rnacentral:misc_RNA from 1 species
GAUGAAGAACGUAGCGAAAUGCGAUAAGUAAUGUGAAUUGCAGAAUUCAGAGAAUCAUCGAAUCUUUGAACGCACAUUGCGCCCGCCAGUAUUCUGGCGGGCAUGCCUGUUCGAGCGUCAUUUCAACCAUCAAGCCCCAGGCUUGUGUUGGAGCCCUGCGGCUGCCGCAGCCUCCCAAAACCAGUGGCGGGCUCGCUAUCACACCGAGUGCAGUAGUUUACUCUUCGCUCAGGGCGUGUGGCGGGUGCUAGCCGUAAAACCCCCAACUUCUCAAGGUUGACCUCGGAUCAGGUAGGAAUACCCGCUGAACUUAAGCAUAUCAAUAAGCGGAGGA